GGGGAUGACAGGCUUUCGACAGGAUAGGUGUGAGAUGUAGUUGCACUCCGAGUUUCAGCAUGGAUGGACUCGUUAAAGAAGUCUAUGUAACAAACAGAUGCAGACGAUUAUUCGUAUGCAAUGGCUGCCUGAUUAGCACAAGUUAAUUAGCCGCCAUCGUCCAGCGGUGAAUGCGCUUACUCUGAAGGCGCUGGAUGGCAUAACCCGCGCUUGAGCUUCGGUUCGCGCAAGUAAGCUUCAUGCGAUCAGGCCUUGGGGGCCGCAUGAAUACACUCCAGGGAUAAGAGACUGUACGUUGUUGGCGAUGUAACAGUCUACGAAAAAACAAUCACCAGAGAUGAGUGUGGUGACUGCAUCGAUCAGUGUUCUGGACGCGGGUUCGAGUCCCGCCAUCUCCACUU
rnacentral:tmRNA from 1 species